UACGAAGGGGGCUAGCGUUGCUCGGAAUCACUGGGCGUAAAGGGUGCGUAGGCGGGUCUUUAAGUCAGGGGUGAAAUCCUGGAGCUCAACUCCAGAACUGCCUUUGAUACUGAAGAUCUUGAGUUCGGGAGAGGUGAGUGGAACUGCGAGUGUAGAGGUGAAAUUCGUAGAUAUUCGCAAGAACACCAGUGGCGAAGGCGGCUCACUGGCCCGAUACUGACGCUGAGGCGCGAAAGUGUGGGGAUCAAACAGGG
rnacentral:rRNA from 1 species